rnacentral:lncRNA from 1 species
UGAUACUGAGAUUGUUUGUACCAGAGUCCUUUUGUUGGAUACACUUCCCACUCUUCUAGCAACCCAUAUGAAUCAAGAGGAAACCAGGCUGUUUUAAGGUUCUACAUCCUUAUCCAUCUCAGAUCGCCGCUCGUUUCCAUUUGGAGUCAUGUUUCCCUUCAAAACUCAAGACAACUGAGAGUCAGUUCAAGAUGAUCACUGUGGUUGCUGGCUUCCUGCCUUUUCCUGCCUCACUUCUCCACUACUCUGAGAUUGCUUUCUGCACCUUUCUAAAAAACCCUUGCACUUGAAUUCUUCCUCGCACGAGAUAACUUGGAAUCUACUUUCAAGACAGCAAAAAGAUGAUCUGGGUGUGGUCAGGAAGCAGAGGAUACUGGUAGCCUUACACUCUCACUACGCCUACGUCAUUCACCUCACUUCAUCUCAUCAUGUAGGUAUUGUAUCCUCUCACAUCGUCAUGAGAAAGGUGAGCACAACACAACA